CUUUCGGAGCUGUGCGGCACGCUGAGCAGGAAUGGCAAUGUGGACCUCUGUGAUGGGACAUCUUGUGGGAUCUCACAGCCAGUUCUGUGGCAAAGGAGGAUGAAGGCUUACGAGGACUCGUCAGGAAGCUGGAUAACAGAACAAGUGCAAUGUAAGUAAUUUUGUGUGUGCAUGUGGUCCCAUUACAAGGAAUACCCAAUGGCAAAUGAGCACUAAAGAUCCCUCAACACACACAUUGAAUGUAUUGUUCCCUGAGAGCAAUUGUAGAUAGAGGAGUGGGUGGGAAGUCUGAAGUCAGGGCAUUGUUUCUGCCUAUCUGAGUAGGCUGGUUUUUGAUAUUUGUGGGAGCUAGUGGUCGUUAACUCAUUUACCCCCUAUUUGGUGGACUCUGGUUCCCCCAUCUUAAGUGCUGAGUCAGGGGCCUAACCGGGCAGCUUUAACUAUUUGUUUGUUGUAGGUGCUAGAAGACCAGAAAAUGAAAUGGUGGAGUUUGAGGCUGGAUAGACAGUUUGAAAGGUACAAAUGAUGGUUUGAAUAAAGGUAUAACGCACGGGUCGCCUCAAGUGAAGGCACUGCAAACAAAAUGAUUGGUCAUUCUGAAUUUCCGGUCCUUCAUUCUGAAUUUCAAAGGCUCCUGUGACAAGUGGACAUGCAGUGACUGUACCUUUGUUUCUGAGGUGCCUGGAUGGAGGCUCAAAUAGAAGAUGGUGUCAGAUAUAUUGUGUUGUCAAAAUUUUACCAUUAAAGUGUAUUAUAAC
ensembl:processed_transcript Gas5 growth arrest specific 5